rnacentral:rRNA from 2 species
AUUAUUUUAAAUGUAAAUUUAAAUUCUAAAUUAGUAUUAGUUAUGUUCUUGAAAUUUAAAAAAUUUGGCGGUAUUUUAGUCUAUUUAGAGGAACCUGUUCUGUAAUUGAUAAUCCACGAUUAAUUUUACUUAAUUUAAAGGUUUGUAUAUCGUUGUUUUUAAAAAUUUUUGAAGAAUAAUAAUUUUUAAUUUUUUUUAUAAAAAUUUAUUUCAAAUCAAGGUGCAGUUUAUAGUUAAGAAGAAAUGGGUUACAAUAAAUUUAUUUAUGUGGAUUAAUAUAUUAAAUAUAUAUUAUGAAAUUGGAUUUAAUAGUAAUUAAUUUAAUUUAAAAUUAAUGAUUAUAGCUCUAAAAUAUGU